GCUUAGUCAUAAACCAAAGUAGUUAGAUAACAAAACUACUCGCCAGGAAACUACUAGCUACUGCUUAAAACUCAAAGGACUUGGCGGUGCCCUAAACCCACCUAGAGGAGCCUGUUCUAUAAUCGAUAAACCCCGAUAUACCCAACCCCAUCUUGCCAAUACAGCCUAUAUACCGCCAUCGUCAGCCCACCUUAAAAAAGAUACAAAGUAAGCAAAAUUAUUUUUUCAUAAAAACGUUAGGUCAAGGUGUAGCAUAUGAUAGGGAAAGAAAUGGGCUACAUUAUCUAGCUUAGAUUACACGAAUCACAUUAUGAAAUCUAAUGUGCCUGAAGGAGGAUUUAGUAGUAAAUUAAGAAUAGAGUGCUUAAUUGAAUUAGGCAAUAGGGCGCGC
rnacentral:rRNA from 1 species